AUGGACUUCAGAAUUGGACGUAAGAAGAUUGUCAGACACUAUGGGCAUCAUGUGAUAGUGCAGGGUGUCAAUUCAGUCCAAACACAGUUCAUGUGGGACAAAGGUCUUGACACUAUGACAGACUGGAGAACUGUUCAGGGUUCGACACCGCCCUCGUCUGGUGAAUGCUGGGAUUGGGUCUUGCUUUCCCGGCCACUAGAAAAUCUGAUUUGCUGAUCUGGGCUUUGGACAGAGCUGAAGUCUAAGGAGAACCAGGGCCUUGUCUUCUACUACAGAGGCUUUCUCACACACAGACAUCCUGAGGCAGCUCAGAGGAUCAGCACUCUUUUUCGUGUCGUGAUGCCAGUGCAACCGAAAAAAUCCCUCGUAUUGAAUUCCUACACCCACAUGUGCAGCUCAAGACACUGAGGAGAUGCUUUUUUUUUUGUAAGUGCAGGAAUGUGUCUUUAGUAGAACCAAAUGUUUGUUUACUAGAAACGGAAAAAUCUUAAGACUUUUAUAAGCGACAUUUUUUGAUGCUAAAAAUGUGCAGCCUAAAUCUGUGGGCUAAACUGUCUGAUGUGGAAGUUCCUUUUUCUUUUAUCUCACUCUGUUUUCAUUUGAACGGGAGGCCAGAGUUCACGCUGACAUUUCAAACGCUCCUCCGUGUAUACUCCCGAGAAUCUUCCGACCAGCAUCUGUCUCACCCAGCCUCACUCGGUUUGAUCAUUUGAGUUUGUUUCAUUCCAUUUAGUUUUCAUUACUAUGUAAAUUCAAGAAGUAUGGCAGAACAAAGUUGAUUAUUUCCAUCUCGACAAAAGUUUUAAUAUUGUAUGAAAUGUGUUGUUCAUCAGUGAAAUAGUUUUGAUGAAGUGCUGAAGACUUUGAUCCUGAUUCCCUUUUUCUAAGGCACUUUGAAUCGAGGACGUUUAAGAACAGUUUGUUA